CUUGACGACCAUAGAGCGUUGGAACCACCUGAUCCCAUCCCGAACUCAGAAGUGAAACGAUGCAUCGCCGAUGGUAGUGUGGGGCUUCCCCAUGUGAGAGUAGGUCAUCGUCAAGA
rnacentral:rRNA from 2 species